GAAGAAAGGUAUGGUAGUAAACAAUAGCAAUUAAUGCAAACUGACGAUGACAGAGUAGCCGGUGAUCUAACUUUCUAGAGUCAUAGAGGAAAGAAUAAGAUUUGGAACAGUCGGCAGUAGUUGGAUUUCACUUGUGGUCUCCCUCCUAGGUGUUGUGACAUUAUUAUCUGAUUAUGAUGUAUGUAAAGAAGGUGCCUCGCUGACUCCUGAACAAGCACGUCUUCUGAAACUGCUUGGUGUUGAAAUGGCAACCUUCAAAGUGACAAUAAACUGCAUGUGGAACUCUGAGAAUGGUGAAUUUGAGCAACUGACAACUGAUGGAAGGAACAAGCAAAAGGUGGAGGAAAUGGAGGAGCAGGAGUGACUGAGUGCAAGUUGAAGAGCUCAGCCUGUGUACUUCAAAAGUGUCAAUCUUCAAUGACUAACGAACAAUUUCACAGUCAUUUGGGAGAACAACUGUUGCAAAUGUGGACAUUGAAUUUAGUGAGCAUUUUUAAUAAAGUUUAGAACUUCAACAGAUUUAUUGGCUGGGUCUCACCUAGUGGUGCAAGAGGUGUGCAGUAUUGCAGUUUUUUGGUAUGUACUGACCUUUGAGGAACCUGUUAACAUGACCAUCCUAACAUUACAGAUAAAACCACCCUAUUUAUAGGUCCUUUCCAAGCUCUUAACAGCAAAUGAAUGUGUUUGUCUUUGAAAUGUCACUUUUGUGACUAUUGGGGAAGGCAUGGUGUCACUGGACCUGUGCAGGGAAUACAGUUACAAUUGCUGUUAAACACAGCUGGACCACUUUACAGUUGACAUUGUCUUCGGCCACAGCUGCAGCACUUAGGUUACCAACCUCUCUGAAGAAUGGCAGUAAGCAAUAGUAAUUCAUGCAAACUGGUGAUAACAGUGGCCAGUGUUAUUCACAUCUUCUGUUGUUACAAAUGAAUGGUGAAAACUUGGAGCAGUAAGUGGUGCUCACUUUCAGUCUGUGUUCUGUCUGAGCUCUUCACAGCUAAUGAAUGGCUUUGAAAUGUUAAGAUUCUGGAAAGCAGUGGUGUAGCAAAAAAGGUAUUGUUCAGAACCCCAGGCAAAUGUUCUAGACACUGGUUCUGAUUCCUAUCAGUACUGUUGGUGACACUUGAACUCAAGCUGGCCUAAUGGUGACCAUGUAACCAUUACUGAUUGAUGUAAAAAGAGUGUCUAGAGAGACCGUGUUUAUUGGUCUGGCUAACUUUAGACCCACAAUUUGGCUUCCUGUUAACUUUCUAUGGGCAUUUAGAGGUGGUGAUAAAUGCUGGUCUAGCAUCGAUAAAUGCAUCGUCUGCAUCCCAUAAAUGCAGUUUUGUUUUUAGUAAUGAGGGAGUCAAUUUAGGAGUCACAAGAUGCUAAUAGCAGUUAUGAGCUAAAUGGCUCAUGAGUUUUUUCAGAGUGAAGGGUGGGGGGGAGGGUUUGCUGAAGGAUUGAUAUGAGCCAAAACAUCUUACUCUUGUAAAACAAAAUGCUAAAGGCCUUUUCUAUCCAUCCACAAGAUUCUGGUUUGAGAGAUGGUGGUCUCAUGGUAAUGUAACAAGAUUUGUAGAGAGAAUGCAAGGGAAUACAAACCCUAUUGUGAGAAUUCAAGUUUAAUGAUUAAAUUGAAUAAAAUGUUAAUCUUAAAGCCA